GGCUCCGGGAGGUCCCUGGAAGGGGCGGAGCGUCGCCGACACCCAGCACCGCUCGCGGGAGGGGCGCGGGCGGCGCUCAGGCUCAAGUUACCUCCCUGCGGCCUCCCCCGCCCCGCCAUCUUCUUUUUCCGUUUCCAAAUUAACAAUUGAAAACGCUGCGGCCUGAAAGGCGAGCAGCGGGCCAAGCGGAAAGUGUGAAGGUGCCGCUGCGUCCCCUUGGACGGGGGCCGAAAAGGGGGCGCGACACCCUGUCCACGGCUAGCCCACCCACCAACGCCGCUUGCUGGGCACGGAGAGCCCCGGAACGCAGAGGUGCCAAGGCCCCUAAAUCGGGUCCUGGACUGAUCCGGCCCCUGCCAGAGGAGCUGUCCACCAAUGGGGAACACUGGAGCUGACAGGUCUUUCCCUCCUCUCACUUCCUUGGGGCUUCCCAAAGCCCCACAUGAUAAAGAACUGAGGCCAGGAAGUUUCUUAUGAGGGGCUCAAAGUCACAGGAUGGUCCCCCUUCUUCCCCAAGAAUCCCUGAUCUGCUUUGAGGAGUGCUAGCCCAGCCCCUGGUUGGGAUUCCUGGCCCCCUCUGGGGACCACUUCGUGCAGAGACAGUUUCUUCCUCUGUCCACUCCCACCCCACCGCCACCAGCUCAUUAGGAUCCAUCCAUCAAGGGUAAAGCCUAUUCUGACUCCUCCACAUCUCCCAGGCUGGCCAAGUAGAAGCUCAGACAGUAUCUGGGAGGAAACAAGAAGACCCAGGUCUCCAGGGCCUUGAGCAUCCGUGAGUCAGGAAUUUCCCACAGUCCUCUGCAGCCUGAGAUUUCUGGGUAAGGGCACCUUGGGGUUCCUACAGAGGUGGGUGGAUGGAGGGAGAGCCAAUGCAAGUCCAUCUUGAAUACUGGUGAGACUGGGAAAGAGUACAAAUGGAGACCCACACACUA